ensembl:lncRNA
CUGAUUUUCAGAUUCUUCUCCCUUAUGCUGCUGCUGCUAAGUCGGCCUGGGACUCCCAACCUCAGUGGUGCUGGAUGCCCUCAGGCAGUGUCACCUCCUGUCACCACCUUGCCUGAGCCUGACCCUCCAGUCUUCCUCCAGAACCGACGAGAGGCCAUCACCUGGGUGAACAGACAAAGGAUGGUUUGAUUGAGAGGGUUGUUACUAUAGUUGAGCAAACUUUUAACCAAUCCAUCUGCUUGCAGCCCACCUAGACCCCUGCUUCCUAAAUCCUUUGGGACUUCAGGUCCUUCUCGAAUUUCUUAAAUGCCGUGGUAGUGUUUGUUUGUCCUUG